AGCGAACGCUGGCGGCAGGCCUAACACAUGCAAGUCGAACGAACUCUUCGGAGUUAGUGGCGGACGGGUGAGUAACACGUGGGAACGUGCCUUUUGGUUCGGAAUAACUCAGGGAAACUUGUGCUAAUACCGAAUGUGCCCUUCGGGGGAAAGAUUUAUCGCCAUUAGAGCGGCCCGCGUCUGAUUAGCUAGUUGGUGAGGUAACGGCUCACCAAGGCGACGAUCAGUAGCUGGUCUGAGAGGAUGACCCGCCACACUGGGACUGAGACACGGCCCAGACUCCUACGGGAGGCAGCAGUGGGGAAUCUUGCGCAAUGGGCGAAAGCCUGACGCAGCCAUGCCGCGUGAAUGAUGAAGGUCUUAGGAUUGUAAAAUUCUUUCACCGGGGACGAUAAUGACGGUACCCGAAGAAGAAGCCCCGGCUAACUUCGUG
rnacentral:rRNA from 1 species